CUUUCUUUUAUAUUAGAUUUUCAUAUGUAGAUCAACUGGUCAAAUCACAUAAUCAUGCUUUUGUUAUGUUUUCCUUUGUCGUCUAAAUUAUCAAUCUCUUGAUUUGCAUGCAACUAUUAUCUUUCACAUGACGCCUUCAUAAUUUGAUCUCAAUGACACGACCCGACCAAGGCCUAGUCGUGUCGGGUGCCUCAAGUCUAACCGGGAUCGGAGACCACCCCAAUACCCAACUAUAACUGCCCUGUACCCCAUGUCGGAUGAAUUCCAAACAUAUGACAAGAUAAAACAAUUAAUACUCAAAGACAAUAAUAGAAUCCAUAACCAUAACUAACAAAACAAUCAAAUAUCCAAUCGGUGACAGUCCCAAUACCAAUACCAAUGCCAACGCUGCCACCAAUAUCGACACCACCCAUGUCCAUAGCAGUCACACAAAGCCUCUGAUCGAAAACAAAGAAUAUACGAUCGAGACAUUCCCCCCGACCAUAGCCAAAACCAAAGUCCAAGAAAUAAACUAAAGUAUGAGAAGAUAUCCAUAGCAUGAAAUGGAGUCUUUCGGGGUAUGAAAGCUCACUACUUCAAUCCGACACAAAUGUUGUCCCCGAAUCCAAGAUCACUGAGUGGGAAGGGUACUAUAGCUGAUUCUGCAUUGCGUUGGAAUACAUCAUCUGAAGACGGAUUAGCGGGUGAACGCUAACAUGUACUCAUGAAUAAGGAUAAAGUAAUGUCAUUAUUUAAAACCAUAGUAAAUAUAUAUAUAUAUAUAUAUAUAUAUAUCAUGCCAAAGCCUCUAACUGAAAACAAAGAACAUACAAUAGGGACAUGCCCCUGACCAUAGCCAAAAUCAAAGUCCAAGAAAUAAACUAAAGUAUGAGAAGAUAUCCAUAGCAUGAAAUGGAGUCUUCCAGAAUAUGGAAGCUCACUACUUCAAUCCGACACAAAUAUUGUCCCCGAAUUCAAGAUCACUAAGUAGGGGGUACUAUGGCCAAUUCCUGCAUUGCGUUGGGAUACAUCGUCCGAAGACAGAUUAGCAGGUGAACGCUAGC
rnacentral:lncRNA from 1 species